GGGGAAUAUUGGACAAUGGGCGAAAGCCUGAUCCAGCAAUGCCGCGUGAGUGAUGAAGGCCUUAGGGUUGUAAAGCUCUUUUACCCGGGAUGAUAAUGACAGUACCGGGAGAAUAAGCCCCGGCUACCUCCGUGCCAGCAGCCGCGGUAAUACGGGGGGGGCAAGCGUUGUUCGGAAUUACUGGGCGUAAAGGGCGCGUAGGCGGCCUUCUAAGUCAGACGUGAAAUCCCCAGGCUUAACUUGGGAACUGCGUCUGAUACUGGGAGGCUUGAAUGCGGGAGAGGGAUGUGGAAUUCCAGGUGUAGCGGUGAAAUGCGUAGAUAUCUGGAGGAACACCGGUGGCGAAGGCGGCAUCCUGGACCGACAUUGACGCUGAGGCGCGAAAGCUAGGGGAGCAAA
rnacentral:rRNA from 1 species